UCAUCAUUAAUUAUCUAUACCUCUAAUAAAAAAAAAUGGACCUCGUUUUAGUGUUUUCGCACCUCCAGACACCGAGUAAAGUGUUUUCGUGUGCAUGAACACGAAACGUGCCUAUUCACUCAUCUCCUGCACCUCUCCACCCCUGCACGGCGCCAAUGAUGCCUUCUGUUCUGAAAACAACCAAUGGGUACCAUUUUAACUGUUCCCGUCUCUUCGCCAGACUCAAACGCCUGACUGAACUCCCUGCCUUAAGUUCCUGCCUUCAACACCGGCCACACCUUCUUCUCCACGUCUGCUGCCAUCUAUGGUCUCCAAAGUGCUCGAUCAAAUGCCUCCCACUACCAUCACCUUCGACAUUGCACCAAAGGAUCGAAUUUCGACACGAAUAGGCUAUGGAAUUUCGCACUACAUUGGUGUGAUUUCGCCUCCAUGGGCAAGCAGGUAUGUCUUUUUGCCCGGUUUGAUUGAUCUGUGAGUUAGUUAUCGUUUCAUCUUUUUUUAAUGUCAUCAUAUUAAGAACACCAAACAAUUAAUGUUGUUCAAAGAUGAAUUGAGACUAGAUAUCGUAAGCCAAUAAACUUGAAAAUAAAAGAAAUUGAUACCACUAAAUAUGAUGAGAGUGGUGAAAGAAACAUUUUGCUAGACUUUUUCCUUUAUGUUAAGUUUAUUUAGUUUUCCUAAAGACCAUGGUUUUGGGACAUAUUGUUCAAUCAUAAUAUCUGUUCAGUUUGUUGACAAGGAGGAUUUUCAGCCCAAAUCCAUAUCAACCAGCCCAAGCUCAAAACAUAGCUUGGAUAUAUCAAGAAAAUAUUUUCGUGAUGUGGAAAGGGAAGAUGAGAUGUCUUGAUCCAUAGAUUAGGAAUAUUAUUAUCUUAAUUAGGUUAUAUAUUUAAUUUAGAUAGAAAUAUAUUUAGAAUUAGAUAUUACUUGCAAUUUUAGUUUGAGUCAAGAGUCUUAAGUUUUCUAUUGUGGGACAAUUACUUGUUUUGUUUUAGGAAGUCACAUAGCAAAGAGUUUAGAUUCUAAUUUACUAUUUUAGUUUCUUCUUAGUUGUCUUUGGCCUAUAUAUGUAGAUCAUUUCUUUGUACCAGAUGGCUAGAACUCUAUAUCUCAAGAAUAAUAAUACUUCUUUGAUAAAGUUGAGACAUUUCUCUUUUUAUCAUGGCCCUUUUGGGUGUUAUUUGUUGGGUUUAGCCGUGAUCUAUUCCCUUCGAGUCUAAAUUCAAAUUUAGGCGCGAGAAACCGUGAUCCGCGCUGCGUCAGGCGUGCAUGCACAUCUUGACGAUCCGAGAAGAUCUGAUUGGGAGAAUUUCCCUUUGGGGCUACUGGUGCUGGUAUACAUUCUGUUUACCGGCCAUGUGUCUCAGGUGAAAAUCCUGGUAUCCUAAAUACAAGGGCAUGUCAGGUGAAAAUCCUUGUAUUUAUAUAAAUACAUUCUGUUUACCAUACAUUUUUUUCGUUUUUAUAUAAAUAAACUGUGCCGGACAGAAUUCCUGAUGUAUAUGCUAACUGAAGUGCUAGCUAUUAAUAUCGCUCAACAGUUGCUUAUCCUUCUGAGUUUUGCUUAAGAUUUAUCAAUUUUGUGCUUCCACAGGUGGUAUAACCACGUUGGUCGACAUGCCCCUUAAUAGCUUCCCAUCAACUGUUUCCACUGAAACACCCUAGAACGUAUGGUAAGAUCAGAUGGGCUCAUGGAUUUCAACCCCUCUUCUCCAAGGAAAAGCUUAAAAUUUCCUUAAUAACGUCGUAAAAAAUUAAGGGUAAGGCUGCAUAAAAGAAUAUCUAUGUCAAUGUUUCUGGAGAGGCCUGGUUCUGAUAAUGCAUCCAAUUUAAGUGCCUGGAAGCUCUUCUACAUGCCGGCAUUCUCAAGAUAAAAGUAUUAUCAUCUACCUUCCCUUAAUAUUCUCUCGAUAUUACCUUUAGUUCACCCGAACAAGUCUUGUUUUAUUGAAAUAUAUCUGGUUUUUGUGCCUCUAUUUUAUAUAGAGUAGAAAAAUGGUUUUCUGCACAUUUAGGUACUUUAGUACUGUAGAAGUUGUUUAUCUUCUUGUAAACUAAAACAUGGAAAGUUCCUCAGAACAAAGAUUAGUUGGAGCUCUAUCCUCAAGAAAUUCUACUUUUCCAUAUAACCGAGUUCAUGUUUCUAUUAUGUAGUCUUUUAUAUGUCCAUCAUGUAAAAAUGACUUUCUUAUGAUGAUGCAGUCCACAUUAAGGUCUGUCUCAUAGGACUUGUUCUCUAAUUUCUUUGUGGUUAUCUAAAUAUUGUUCUUAGUGGUAAUUUAUGAAUGGUUUCUACGGGAAGCGACUGUCUGGCUUGGCUAAGUAAAGGAGGCUGCUACUUGUGCACACAGAAGGACAUACAACUGGACUUGACCAGCAUGCCAAACCUUGAUAGAGAUGACCUGCGAUCUUAUUAAACCUAUCUUAAGUUAAGGCCACUUUCAAUGUGAGAUUUUUCUCAUUUGACUGUGACUUAGCAAAUUUGAUUUGUAUAUUAACGAUAUUAUUAUAGAAUCUUCUUCUGAAUAUCCCAUGUCUUAGUCUGGUUACCUUUGUAUUUUCUGUAUUCAAUUCUAUCUGCUUUAGGAAAAUAAAGGUCCAACUUUAACUA